rnacentral:lncRNA from 1 species
CCCCUCCCAUUGUCCCGGCCCGCGGCCUGCCGCGGCCCGCUCCGCCCGGCCCGCGCCCUCCCCGUGCCCGGUCCCCGCUGCUGGCCCUUACCUUGCAGCGGCCGGCUCUUUCCCGCCGCUAAUGCUACUUAUCCCGGGAAAGCUCGGAGCAGGGCCCGGGAGCGAACCCACAGACAAAAAGUGAAACUUCGGCAGGCCGGGAGCGGCUGCUGGUUGGUGCUCUCCCCCUCCUUCCUCCCCACCCCCCUCCCCGCGGUCUCCCGUGCGGUGCCCUGAGCGCUGGAGGCUGACGUCAGGGGCCUGAAUUCCUGACUUUGCCUGCACGCAUUUGUCCAUGUAAGCCUGUCCCUACACAAAAGAAAUGCCUCACCUCAGCCCACACUAACAACAACCUCAGCACACCCUAAUGGCUUCCCUACCUGUUGCUGCCAUCUCAGAAAUGCUGCUAAUUAUGUUGAAACUGUUCUGCGUGUUGGGGAAGAUCACUGUGCCGCUUCUCCUGAAAUACUCAGGUAGGCAUGGUGCUGCUGGCAAGAGCACUAUAGAAAGUUAGUCACAAAAGGUAAUUGCAACUCAUGAGGCACUCCCCAGGAGUGUAAGUGACAAAGUCAUAAAUUGGAUGUUUGGUGAACCACAUACCGGGCCAUCAGGAGUCCUAGCCCAAACCAGAAGCCUCAUUGUGCUCUGUUGUUCCGCUUUCUUUUGU